UACGUAGGGUGCAAGCGUUACUCGGAAUUACUGGGCGUAAAGCGCGCGCAGGCGGUGAUGUAAGACAGAUGUGAAAUCCCCGGGCUCAACCUGGGAACUGCAUUUGUGACUGCAUCGCUGGAGUGCGGCAGAGGGGGAUGGAAUUCCGCGUGUAGCAGUGAAAUGCGUAGAUAUGCGGAGGAACACCGAUGGCGAAGGCAAUCCCCUGGGCCUGCACUGACGCUCAUGCACGACAGCGUGGGGAGCAAACAGG
rnacentral:rRNA from 1 species